GUGCUCACUUUGGCAGCACAUAUACUAAAAUUGAAAUGCUACAGAGAUUAGCAUGGCCCCUGCGCAAGGCUGACACACAAAUUCGUGACGUGUUCCUUAUUAAA